AUUUCAUUUAUAGAAGCGACCUUUAAAUACAUUUACUUAAAUAAUAGCUCAUUCUAAUCAUCCUAUACUGAUCUAUCUCAAAAUGAGCUUUGCAGACACAUAUUAUUAUUACAUCGAUAUUAAUUAAUGGCACGUCACGAUUCCAAUUCGCGCGAUACAUCUAUCUCGCAUUUAAUUUCAAUAUUGUCAUUAUUAUUUCAAUAUUUCGACUAAAUAACUCUGGAUAAAUCCCCUUACUAUAAACCCGUUACAUUAAUGAUUAACGAUGUAGAACCGCGAUUGCAGUCGAUUAUAUGAUAUACGCGGUUUCCGUAUUUCCAUGUUACAUGCUGUUCAAAUUCUAACUGGAUAACUCGGUACAUAUACACUACAAUCUUGUUUCGAAACACGUUGCCGAACACCUGUAAUGUCGUGCAAAAGUUAUGUAAGAUAUGUCAACUGCGAUGUGACCGAAUUUCGGCCGAAUCUGCAAAGAAAAAUAAGCGCCAAAGAUGUUAUGAUUGUCUAUGAUGUACCAUUUUUACAGCUUGUUCCAUUUGAUUCGAUUAACGAGUCGAGUCGCAUUUGAGAAAAUCACGAUCUUAGUGGCGGGCGGAAAUUCAGCUCGAGUCUCCGAAUAAACAUUUGCCGAAUGAAUCUUAGCCGAGAGAGGAGGAGAAAUUACGAAAUUUUUAAAAACUCCAUCUUUAUGCCGAAAUACCAUCUAGUUUCUAGUUAAUGCGCUCGCGCACGUCGGAAUAAAAUCGAUUCUCGCAGAAACGUUCUUAAAAUAUACGAUAGGACGUCACUUCUUUCUUUUUCCCUGUCUGUCGUGUCCUUAUGGACGAUGAACUCCGAGGAAUUUUCGUGAUAGCCGCUCCCUCCUUGUGACUCGCAAAAGUUUCUGUCGUCGCAAAUUUUAUAUUCAUUCCAGACUACUAUCCGGAAGAGGACGACGGUAAUUGGACAUGCGUGGCCGGACUCGUGGGUAAAAACGGUCACUUGGAGGAAGCCUGGGACAAUGUCAUGUGUCAUAAAAUUCCGUAUGCGUCCAGAAUGACGGUCUUUAUCGUUAAGCGCCUUAGCUUCGUGGUCAUCGGUAUCACACUGAUAAUCGUCGUCUUUGGUACCUUCGGUUACGUCUUGGGCCGAUAUAGGCUUCGUCGAAUGAUGUCGAGAGACAUCAUUAACGACUCAUCAAGCUACAGCCCGCAGACGGUGGCCUUGAUAUCAUUCGUAUGGCGAGACCGCAGCAGAAAGAUAAUAAUAUCGUAUCAGCUCGCGAAAUUUCGUUUUAAUACAAUGUGUUAAUUAACCGCUCCGUUAAUCAAGAAACUUCGAGAAGCGCCGGAUACUUUGCGGAUGGACUCGCAUUAGAUAUUUUCUCCUAAACUCGAUGAAAAUGAAGCUUGCCCACGAAAUGAGAGACAUCUCCUGCGCACCG